rnacentral:rRNA from 1 species
UCGAGAAUCAUUCACAAUGGGGGAAACCCUGAUGGUGCGACGCCGCGUGGAGGAUAAGGUCUUCGGAUUGUAAACUCCUGUCAUGUGAGAGCAAGGCUCUAGCGUUAAUAGCGUUGGAGUUUGAUAGUAUCACAAGAGGAAGAGACGGCUAACUCUGUGCCAGCAGCCGCGGUAAUACAGAGGUCUCAAGCGUUGUUCGGAAUCACUGGGCGUAAAGGGUGCGUAGGCGGCUUGGUAAGUCAGAUGUGA